CCCUGACAUCACUGCUUGAUUCAUCAUCCAAGGCAGCUGAGAAGAAUGUAUCUAUCUCUGCUUCUAUGGUUCCCGGUUCUUGGUUUGUGUAAUCCACAACUUGGCCAACACCCAUUGCCAUGGAAGCCACUUCGUCUUGCAGAUUUUCCACACUCGGACUUGCUGUUAAUCUCCUUUUGCGCCCAAUUUCAACACCUCUUAGUUCUCUCCUUUGUGUUCUCCUCUGAGAUAAUUGGUGGAUAAAUAAUGGAUUGUUGAGAGCUUUAGCAAGAAAUAUCAUUAUCUGCUGUUGUUUUCUCUCUGUAGUUUGCAACCUAUCCUCCAUUGCAGCAAUUGUUUCUCUUGACUGCUGUUGUUGCUGCCUAAGCUUCACGAUUUCUGCCAUUAGCACAUUUCGAUCUCUUUUUAAUCUUUCUACCUCACCGUCCCAUCCAAAUUCUCCCACUUCAACACAAAGUCUUCCACUUUGCUGUUUCAUACUUUGCGAAACGUGUCUUCUCCUCUUGAUGGUUUUCAGCAGAUGCUUCUGCCCUCUCAAAAACCCUUCAUUUGCAAAUUCCCAUAGAUCAGGGUCGACCUUUCUGAAUCCAUAUGUGUUGAGCUGGCGAAUGAAGCUGGAGAAGUUACUG
rnacentral:misc_RNA from 1 species